rnacentral:rRNA from 1 species
GGGAGUACGACCGCAAGGUUGAAACUCAAAGGAAUGACGGGGCCGCACAAGCGGAGGAACAUGUGGUUAAUCGAUGAUACGCGAGGAACCUUACCCGGGCUCGAACGGUGCAUGAAUGAUUCAGAGAUGGAUCAGUCYUUCGGGACAUGUAUCGAGGUGCUGCAUGGUUGUCGUCAGCUCGUGCCGUGAGGUGUCGGCUUAAGUGCCAUAACGAGCGCAACCCUUGUCGUUAGUUACCAUCAAGUAAUGUUGGGGACUCUAGCGAGACUGCCACCGUAAGGUGUGAGGAAGGGGGGGAUGACGUCAAAUCAGCACGGCCCUUACGUCCGGGGCGACACACGUGUUACAAUGGUAGGUACAGAGGGCAGCUACCCAGUGAUGGGGUGCGAAUCUCAAAAACCUAUCUCAGUUCGGAUUGGAGUCUGCAACUCGACUCCAUGAAGUUGGAUUCGCUAGUAAUCGCGCAUCAGCCAUGGCGCGGUGAAUACGUUCCCGGGCCUUGUACACACCGCCCGUCAAGCCAUGGAAGCCGGGGGUGCCUGAAGUUCGUGACCGCAAGGAGCGACCUAGGGCAAAACUGGUAACUGGGGCUAAGUCGUAACAAGGUAACC